GGUCAAUAUUCUUUAUUUGGGAUCCACAAUGUUGGAGGAGUCAGCAGAUAGUGUCAAAUGAGGAAACCUGUUAAUUUAGCCAAUUCCAAGGUACAGAUGUGAAAACUGAGGUGUUACAACAUUUCUCAAGUCACGGUCAGAUUCAAGGAAGACACCUGGGCUAAAGCUGUUAAUUUAUAUAUAUUUAUCCAGCAGACUUAACGAACACAUAAAAAUAUGAUCAGA